CUCAUUGUGUCGAAAGGACGGGACUUGAUGCAUGCUCUGUCAGUGGUGAUCAUAGUUACUGAGAUGGGUCUGCACUGAUGUCUGGGAGUUUGGACUGAAUCUUAAUGACAUGUGAAGGCGACCUGCAAGAAAUAUACUGCUCUGUUGGAAAGCUGGUGCUCUGCUAGGCAGGAGGAAUCCUCACAGAUUGGCGGUUCCCCUUCUGUCAGGCCCUGUUAUGGACAGUGUUCAUGUGGUCAAAGCUUAUCUAAAGGCUGAACAAGUCAACACUGUAAUCUUCUGGAAUGUUGGAAAAGGGGAAAAGCAUGGAAAUCGAGAAAUCAGCAUCCAGAAGAAUCCCAGUGACAAGCUGGGCUCCUAGCUAAAAAAGAUGCCUGAUGUUUAUCCCUGGAUAUGAGCAUGUCCAAGAACACUAUUUUAUAUCAAUGGUCAAGAAACAUCUUCCUAUUCUGGAGUUAUGGGAAGGUACCCUUCAGCAAUACAGAGGUGGAAGGAAGAAUAUUUGAAGGAGACUGAUAUUUAUGUCACCUAUAUUA